rnacentral:rRNA from 1 species
UACGUAGGGCGCAAGCGUUGUCCGGAAUUAUUGGGCGUAAAGAGCUCGUAGGCGGUUUGUCGCGUCUGCUGUGAAAACCUAAGGCUCAACCUUGGGCUUGCAGUGGGUACGGGCAGACUAGAGUGCGGUAGGGGUGACUGGAAUUCCUGGUGUAGCGGUGGAAUGCGCAGAUAUCAGGAGGAACACCGGUGGCGAAGGCGGUUCUCUGGGCAGUAACUGACGCUGAGGAGCGAAAGCGUGGGGAGCGAACAGG